AACGAACGCUGGCGGCAGGCUUAACACAUGCAAGUCGAGCGCAGCGGCUGACGGGUGAGUAAAGCGUGGGAAACUACCCAACUCUACGGAACAACUCCGGGCAACUGGAGCUAAUAACGUAUAGAGAUGGAUGAGCCCGCGUUGGAUUAGCGAGUUGGUGGGGUAAUGGCCUACCAAGGCGACGGGCCAUGGCUGGUCUGAGAUGAUGAUCGGCCACACUGGGAAUGAGACACGGCCCAGACUCCUGCGGGAGGCAGCAGUGGGGAAUAUUGGACAAUGGGCGCAAGCCUGGUCCAGCCAUGCCGCGUGAGUGAUGAAGGCCCUAGGGUUGUAAAGCUCUUUCAACGGAGAAGCGGUAACCGUAGAAGAAGCCCCGGCUAACUUCGUGUCAGCCGCCGCGGUAAUAC
rnacentral:rRNA from 1 species